rnacentral:lncRNA from 1 species
UUUGAUUCGUGUUAGGAUUAGAGAGAGAGGGAGCCGACGGGAGAAAAGAGGGAGAACCCAGUCAUGAUGAAGGCCUUCUGCAUCGCUGCUGCUACCUCUUGUACCAUGGAAAGCUGAGCUCUGCACUAGGGCUGGAUGCAGCCCUAACAAAGGGACACAGGUUUUAUAUUUUUAAUUUUAUAUUCUUGGAGUUGUAUGAACUUAUUGUUUUUAAUGAAUAUCUUCUUUUAUUUCAUGUUUAAUUUCUGUGAUUUUAAAUAUGAAGUUUAUACAACUGCUCUUCAUGAUCAUUGAAGUAA